rnacentral:rRNA from 1 species
CAGCCGUAAACUAUGCUCGCUAGGUGUCAGGGACGGUGCGACCGUUUCUGGUGCCGCAGGGAAGCCGUGAAGCGAGCCACCUGGGAAGUACGGUCGCAAGGCUGAAACUUAAAGGAAUUGGCGGGGGAGCACUACAACGGGUGGAGCUUGCGGUUUAAUUGGAUUCAACGCCGGAAAUCUUACCGGGACUGACAGCAACAUGAAGGCCAGGCCGAAGACUUUGCCGGAUUAGCUGAGAGGAGGUGCAUGGCGUAGUCGUGU